AAUCGAACUCGGAGAUAGCUGGUUCUCCUCGAAAUAGCUUUAGGGCUAGCCUUGAGGUAAAAGAAUUAUGGGGGUAGAGCACUGAAUGAGGUAGGGGCCAAACCAGGUUACUGAACUCUAUCAAACUGCGAAUACCAUAAUUAGAAUACUCAGGAGUCAGACUGCGGGAGCUAAGUUCCGUGGUCAAAAGGGAAAGAGCCCAGACCGACAAUUAAGGUCCCAAAGAUAUAGUUAAGUGGAAAACGAUGUGAAUUUGCAUAAACAACCAGGAUGUUGGCUCAGAAGCAGCCACUCAUUCAAAGAGUGCGUAACAGCUCACUGGUCGAGUGAAUUUGCGCGGAAAAUUACCGGGGCUAAACUAUACACCGAAAUUUCGGAUUUACGUAUGAAAAUAUGUAAGUGGUAGAGGAGCAUUCUGUAGUAGGACGAAGUCAAAGCGAAAGCAUUGGUGGACGAGGCAGAAGAGAGAAUGCUGGAAUAAGUAGCGAGAGCAAGGUGAGAAUCCUUGCCGUCGAAAGUCUAAGGUUUCCUGGGGAAGGUUCGUCCGCCCAGGGUAAGUCGGGGCCUAAGGAGAGGCCGAAAGGCGUAUCUGAUGGAUAGCAGGUGGAGAUUCCUGCACUAUAGCUAGUUUUAAAAGAUGCAAGGGACGCAGUAGAGGAAGAUAACCAAGGAAGAGGAAAGACUUGGUCCGCAAGGGAUAGUGAAAAUUAAUAGUAACGAAAUAUCAAGAAUCACACUGACGAGAAAAGCUUGUAGAUAUUAACUAGAAAUACCCGUACCGCAAACCGACACAGGUAGAUGAGGAGAGGAUCCUAAGACGAGCGGGAGAAGCAUUGUUAAGGAACUCGGCAAAAUAACCCCGUAACUUCGGGAGAAGGGGAACCUAAGUAAAAUUAGGUCGCAGAGAAAAGGCCCAAGCAACUGUUUAACAAAAACACAGGUUUCUGCAAAAUCGAAAGAUGAAGUAUAGGAGCUGACGCCUGCCCAGUGCUGGAAGGUUAAGGGAAAGAGUUAGAUGUAAGUCGAAGCUUAGAACUAAAGCCCCAGUGAACGGCGGCCGUAACUAUAACGGUCCUAAGGUAGCGAAAUUCCUUGUCAGGUAAGUUCUGACCCGCACGAAAGGCGUAAUGAUUUGGGCACUGUCUCGACAAUGUACCCGGCGAAAUUGUAGUACUAGUGAAGAUGCUAGUUACCUGCGACAAGACAGAAAGACCCCAUGGAGCUUUACUGCAGUUUGAUACUGGGUUUCGAUAAGUUAUGUACAGGAUAGGUGGGAGACAAAGAAAGAAAGGCGUCAGCUUUUCCGGAGUCACCGUUGGGAUACCACCCUUAAUUUGUUGGAAUUCUAACUAGUGGUCAUGAUCUGGCCAGAGGACAAUGUCAGACGGGCAGUUUGACUGGGGCGGUCGCCUCCAAAAGAGUAACGGAGGCGCCCAAAGGUUCCCUCAGUGCGGACAGAAAUCGCACGAAAGAGUGUAAAGGCAGAAGGGAGCUUAACUGGAAGAUAGACAUAUCGAGCAGAUACGAAAGUAGGGCUUAGUGAUCCGGUGGAUAUUGAAUGGAAAAGCCAUCGCUCAACGGACAAAAGUUACCCUGGGGAUAACAGGCUUAUCUCCCCCAAGAGUUCACAUCGACGGGGAGGUUUGGCACCUCGAUGUCGGCUCAUCGCAUCCUGGAGCGGAAGUACGUUCCAAGGGUUGGGCUGUUCGCCCAUUAAAGCGGUACGCGAGCUGGGUUCAGAACGUCGUGAGACAGUUCGGUCCUUAUCUGUCGCAGGCGGAAGAUAUUUGAGAGGAGCUGUCCUUAGUACGAGAGGACCAGGAUGGACAUACCGAUGGUGUAUCAGUUGUCACACCAGUGGCACGGCUGAGUAGCCAAGUAUGGACGGGAUAAACGCUGAAAGCAUCUAAGUGUGAAGCCCACCUCAAGAUAAGAUAUCUCAUAUCGU
rnacentral:rRNA from 1 species